CAUCAUCAAAGAGCUUUGAGAUGUUUCAAUUACUGUAUUCUUACUACAUGGUUUUUGUUAUGAAAUUCAUUCACUAUUUUUAAACUCAGUUUUACUCCUUUUCCAGGUGCUUCCUACAAAUAUCUUCUGCACAGAAGCCUAUUUCAAGAAUAAUUAUGCCAUGGCUCAAUUAGAAAAAUAUGCUGAUGAAAACCUGGAUGAUUCCAUUAAAAAAGCUGCAAAGCAGAUCCUGGAGAAGAGGGCAUACAUCUGCUCUCACCCUCUGGACAGGACCUUCUGAUUCCUCCCUGAGAGCAGGCACUCAUGAAUGUCAGUCAGGGAGGAAUUUGCUGCAGUUCCAGUAUUUGGCAUCUUAAAAGCAUCUGUUAUUUAAUGUCUUUACUAAAUGUAACUGUGUAAAAUAAAACUUCUUUCUAACCAAAA